GGACAGGAAGCAAGCCAGACAUCUUGCAUCCCCCACACUGGAGACUAAGACAGGACCAUGCAGCUCCUGAGGGCUUAGCGACCACAGGGCAGACUGCCCAUGGCUGCCCUGGCUUCUGCCCACAGCUGUGGGGAGUUCAUGUAGCAGCAACACAGGCAGCCAGAAACCUCCUGGGAGGCAUAUCGACCCUGUAGAUCCUGGGGUUAACCCUGAUGGUGGAGAAAGUGAGGCCCUAAGGAGAGUCCCCAGUGGGAGACCAGGGUCUGAGACCUCUGCUUGGGAAGGGAUAGCUGCUCUGUAUUGGAGUAGGUAAGACUUCCAGAGAUCCCAGGACUUGGGCACUGUGCGCAGCUGCUGUUAUCGAUGGAUAUUAAUAGGUAAUGAACUCAGUGACCCGAGUUCACUUGGUAAUUACAGAAAUAUGAAGAAAAUACAUCAAAAAGGACAGAA